UAUCCACUAUCGAAACAAACUUCUCAGGGUACAUAAGUUGUAAGAUAUGCUUGCCUUCUGGAAAUAUUUCAAGUCUGCAAUUCAAAAAACAAAAUGUAUGAUCAAAAAAUUGCUGCAGUGACGCAGUGUUAUUAGUAUAGUGGUGUGGUGGCUGGUCAAAAUAUCUUCGAAAUAAUGAUGGCAUCAUGCUUUCAAUGCAUCACUUGGAGCAAAUCAUGUUUCAAUAUGGAAAUUCUUACGCUUCUUAUAACAAGAACAAGUGUUACAAGAGGUUUAUCGGGAAAUCAAGUCCACCACGGUCCUCGGCGUAAAAAGUACGAGGAGCAUGAUAACAAAAUAAGAAAAAUUGUGGAAAACCGUGGAAAAUCGUUCUGAAGUAACACCAGUUGAAUAUUUAAGAGGUUUAUCUUACAAUAUUCAGUAUUAAUCACUAAUUUUAAUUUAACUAAUUAAGUGUUUAAUAAUAAUAAUUAUUUUGGAUUAUGAUAAAUGGGUUAAGUUUUUUUUUUAAUAAUAAUACAAUUUUAUAAUAUAUUAUAUGUGAUUACAUUUUUAAUUAUAAUGAAUGGAUUAGGUUUUUUUAAUGUGUAAUAAAAAAAAACAACAAUGUAUUAUAUGUAAUUAAAGUUUGAAUUAUGAUAAAUUAAUUAGGUUUUUUAAUAAUAAUAACAAGUAAUAACCCUCUA